CCACACUAAAUAUUUGAAGCAAGGAGAUUUAUAGUAAUUUCGAAUAGGUAGGAAAUUUGUUGCACAAUGUCAAAUAGAUAGGAAUUCUAUUGCUAUUAAGCCAAAAUAAAAGUAUUUAUUUCACCUAAACAUAAGAAUGUCAACGAGCCGAGUCGAAUCUACUCACGAGCCAAAACACAAGGCACGAACUCGGCUCAAGUAAAAUAAAACGGGUUGCCAAGCAAAAGCUCGACCCGAACUUUCGACUCAAGCCUUAACAAGCAAAGCUCGAGCCGUCUCAAUUCUCUCUCUCUAUUUUUUAUUUGUAAAUAUUGGCAUUGGCACUACUGCCUUAUUUCUUACUGCCUUUUCCUUCAUUUUUUUUAUAUAAAGCUCGAGCUUCAGUCGACGAGCCACACGAGCCGGCUCAACCAAAGCCGGAACCCCAAAAUGAGGCUCAACUUGAGCCUUGGCUCGACUCCACCGAGCCUCGAGUCGAGCCACGGACGGUCUGAGUCGACAAAUCCAAUAGACAUCCCUACCUAACCAUUACAUGCUAAACUUGGAAAUAUUAAACUUCCAUUCAUAGAAAUUUUUUUCUUUUUUCUUUUUUUUUUCACGAGUCAUGUACUUACAUAAUUAAAUAUAAUCAAGUCACCACAGUACUUCAAUCAUAAAUCUU
rnacentral:lncRNA from 1 species